rnacentral:tRNA from 1 species
UUCUGGCGAUCUCUUAAAAUAAAGCCUAGCCUGCUUUACAAAAAAAACGGGCGUUUAGAUACUCUUUAAAUUCUUAUGAACCUUAAAGAGUAUCCAUUUAAAAAAGGCUUUAUGAAGAAAGCAUUUUAAGCUUUUCCAGUGAUUUAAGAUGAUACCGGGGAAGGUUUUCCGGUUUAUCCCGGAGGGCUUGUAGCUCAGUUGGUUAGAGCGCGCGCUUGAUAAGCGUGAGGUCGGAGGUUCAAGUCCUCCCAGGCCCACCAGUUUAUGCUCGUUUUUUGCUUAUUCUUGAGCGUUAUGAAGCUUAAGCUUAUCAAAGCCUCUUUAAUCUUUGUUCAUCGUUUAAAGAUUUUAUUUUAUCCUUCAAAAAUUGUUUGUUAAAUUUAUCAAACAGUGCCUUUGUCAAAAAAGGAUUUUAAGUUCCCUUCAAGAGGAUAGACAAAUUUAAAGGAUAAAAAUGAUAAAAAUCAAUACAAGUCGAAAUAAUAUUGAUCGAAAAAAUAGUAUUGAUUAAAAGAGGACAAGUCACUCAAGUUGAUAAAUUUUUUUGAGGUUGAUUUGAGAGAGCAUUCUUUAGGGGCCGUAGCUCAGCUGGGAGAGCACCUGCUUUGCAAGCAGGGGGUCGUCGGUUCGAUCCCGUCCGGCUCCACCAUUUAGAUUAUCAUCAUGUUGUAAGAACAUUGUUUUGCGAGA